AAUGCGAUACGUAGUGUGAAUUGCAGAAUUCAGUGAAUCAUCGAAUCUUUGAACGCACAUUGCGCCCUUUGGUAUUCCAAAGGGCAUGCCUGUUCGAGCGUCAUUUGUACCCUCAAGCUUUGCUUGGUGUUGGGCGUCUUUUUGUCUCUCCCCUUGUUGGGGGAGACUCGCCUUAAAACGAUUGGCAGCCGACCUACUGGUUUUCGGAGCGCAGCACAAAUUUGCGCCUUCCAAUCCACGGGGCGGCAUCCAGCAAGCCUUUGUUUUCUAUAACAAAUCCACAUUUUGACCUCGGAUCAGGUAGGGAUACCCGCUGAACUUAAGC
rnacentral:misc_RNA from 1 species